UGGUCUAGGAAACAUGGAUUGUGAAGAUUAGAUGUACCCUUGGACAGUACAACCUAUUGAAUGAACUGUGCAUCUAUUCUUCACUGUUUCAUUUGCAUAAAAUUAAAUUUGCCGUCUUCUGACUAAAGGCCGGGACACAGCAAGCAAACGUCAAGCCGUCGGCGUUUGGCUUCUGUUUCCAUGAUGUCACACUGGGUAGCUCCGCCCAUAGUGAAUCCUCAUUGGUCCAAGAUCCUGCCCCACAUAGAUCUACAGUUACCACAGACCUCGGUUUCUGAGAAAGGACAGAAAACAUGUUAACCUUUGUAUAUCUUCAAUGAAGCCCUAGCAUGCAAUUGUAAAGUAUGUCUAAUUUAAAUAAAAUAUCCGACCAUCACAUACAUUUAGCAUGUCAGUGCAUA
rnacentral:lncRNA from 1 species